rnacentral:rRNA from 1 species
GAUGAACGCUGGCGGCGUGCCUAAUACAUGCAAGUCGAGCGAACAGAUAAGGAGCUUGCUCCUCUAACGGUAGCGGCGGACGGGUGAGUAAGACGUGGAUAACCUACUUAUAAGACUGGGAUAACUUCGGGAAACCGGUGCUACUACCGGAUCAUAUAUUGAACCGCAUGGUUCAAUAGUGAAAGACGGCUUUGCUGUCACUUAUAGAUGGAUCCGCGCCGCAUUAGCUAGUUGGUAAGGUAACGGCUUACCAAGGCAACGAUGCGUAGCCGACCUGAGAGGGUGAUCGGCCACACUGGAACUGAGACACGGUCCAGACUCCUACGGGAGGCAGCAGUAGGGAAUCUUCCGCAAUGGGCGAAAGCCUGACGGAGCAACACCGCGUGAGUGAUGAAGGUCUUCGGAUCGUAAAACUCUGUUAUUAGGGAAGAACAAAUGUGUAAGUAACUAUGCACGUCUUGACGGUACCUAAUCAGAAAGCCACGGCUAACUACGUG